rnacentral:rRNA from 1 species
UUUAUCCUUUUGCGGGGCAGCAGUAGGGAAUCUUCCGCAAUGGACGAAAGUCUGACGGAGCAACGCCGCGUGAGUGAUGAAGGUUUUCGGAUCGUAAAGCUCUGUUGCCAGGGAAGAACAGCCGGAAGAGUAACUGCUUUCGGAAUGACGGUACCUGAGAAGAAAGCCCCGGCUAACUACGUGCCAGCAGCCGCGGUAAUACGUAGGGGGCAAGCGUUGUCCGGAAUUAUUGGGCGUAAAGCGCGCGCAGGCGGCUUUGUAAGUUUGGUGUUUAAGCUCAGAGCUCAACUCUGAUUCGCAUCGAAAACUGCAAGGCUUGAGUGCAGAAGAGGAAAGUGGAAUUCCACGUGUAGCGGUGAAAUGCGUAGAGAUGUGGAGGAACACCAGUGGCGAAGGCGACUUUCUGGGCUGUAACUGACGCUGAGCGCGCAGCUGCCUC